AACGAACGCUGGCGGCAUGCCUAACACAUGCAAGUCGAACGAGAUCUUCGGGUCUAGUGGCGCACGGGUGCGUAACGCGUGGGAAUCUGCCCUUUGGUUCGGAAUAACAGUUGGAAACGACUGCUAAUACCGGAUGAUGACGAAAGUCCAAAGAUUUAUCGCCAGAGGAUGAGCCCGCGUAGGAUUAGCUAGUUUGUGUGGUAAGGGCGCACCAAGGCGACGAUCCUUAGCUGGUCUGAGAGGAUGAUCAGCCACACUGGGACUGAGACACGGCCCAGACUCCUACGGGAGGCAGCAGUGGGGAAUAUUGGACAAUGGGCGAAAGCCUGAUCCAGCAAUGCCGCGUGAGUGAUGAAGGCCUUAGGGUUGUAAAGCUCUUUUACCCGGGAUGAUAAUGACAGUACCGGGAGAAUAAGCUCCGGCUAACUCCGUGCCGGCAGCCGCGGUAA
rnacentral:rRNA from 1 species